rnacentral:lncRNA from 1 species
AUUUCAACCGUGGAGCUCAAGCUAUUAACCCUUUACCACAUGUGCUGCAUCUUUAGUGCCAGCUCCCCGCCCUCCCAGCCACGCCCAAGCCCUCAUGUGGAUCAAUUAGACAGAAAGGCAAGACCCAUCCUGCCCAGCUCUUACUACUCAUCCCUGGCCUGGUGCUGGUACAAGAGUGAGAGGUGGGGAGGGAGGGCUGGGGAGCCUUGUCCCAGGCUGAUGAGGAUGCAGAGCAGCAGAUCCUGCACUCACAGCUGAGACACUGGAGCUGAGGGUUCCUCCUGAAACCUCCCAAGAUGGGGCAGGGGCAGUGGCUGGGCAGAGGGAAGGAGGGGAACGUGCCACAGCUUCCCAGCCUCCCGAGGAGGAAGGUGGCUCCUGUGCAUCAGUCAAGGGUGGGCUGGGAACAGGUCUCACUAAGACAGUGCUCUGGCUUUGGGAGCAGAGUUGUUGGCAGAGCCGAGGCUGGAACCACCCAGGCAGGGCUUGCUGUCCCCCACAAAGGUCCCCUCUCCAUUCAGGUGCUGUCACACUCUCCGAAAUGCCACGGUGAGAGAUUUGGAAACGUUACCUCUUCCUCUUCUUUCGAGAUAAAAGGAAUUGAUAUCAUCUUAGAAUUGGCUGUGAAAAGAAUUCAGCUUCCUUAUCUCAGUAGAAUCUCCUGGGACAGCUGUGAAGCCUGCAGGGCCCUCUAGCAGUUGUCAGAGCAUCCAAGUGAUACGGCUGGGUGGUCUGAAUCUCUCUUCUGAUUGGCUACAGGGCCCGGGCAGCUCACCUAAUCUUCUGUGGCCUCAGCUCUCUUUGCCCACAGAUGGGGUGAUGGUAGUUCCUAAUCAUGGAACUGUGAUUGGUGUCACUCGACAUUGUCUGGCACUCAGCAAGCAGUGUGUGGACAUCAACUGCUAUCAUCCCAUUUUAUAGGUGAGGGGAAACUGAGGCUCAGGGAGAUUAAGUGACAUUCCCCAGGUCACACAGCCAGUGGGGGCAGAAUGAAGACCCAGUCUCUGUAACUUGAUCUUCCAACUUCCAGCCCGAUGGUCCACAGUGAGGAGAGAGAGUGUCCCCCCCCCCCCCCCCAAUCAUCCUCUGCAAACAGUGAUACUCUGAUACUCCUUGUCUCUGGGAUGGGACCAAAGGUGGUUGCUCCUGUGUGGCUCAGCAGUUUGGGGAUCUGAUGUUGCCUCCAUGAGGUUGUAGGUCUGAUCCCUGGGUUAAGAGAUCUGGCUUAGUGGGUUAAGGAUCUGGCAUUGCUGCAAGCUGCGGCAUAGGUUGCCUAUGUGGCUCGGCUUUGGCAUUGGUGUAGCUGUAGUGUGUAGGCCAGCAGUUGUAGCUCUGAUUUGAACCCUAGCCUGGAAACUUCCAUAUGCCACGAUUGUGGCCCUAAAAAGAAAAAAAGAAGGUGAGAAGGGAGAGGAAUGCUUGUAACAUUCUACCAAGUUCUUGUUCAUUUAGAUUAGGGGUCAGCAAACCUUCUGUUUAGGGAGAGAUAGUAAGUACUCUGGUCUUUGUGACCCAUUUGUUCUCUGUUGUGACUACUCAACCCCGCUGUUGCAGCCCAAAAGCAGCCACAGGAAAUCUGUAAAUAAAGGUGUAUGGCUGUACUUGGCAAGAGGGAGCCAGAAAGGUGGCUUGGUCUUGAGGCCAUGAGCACCAUGGUGGGUGGGGCAGCAAAAUGUGAGUGAGAUAUACACGUCUGAAAGAUAAAACUGGGCCAUGAGGUUUCCUGAAGGGUGUGGCCAGGACUGGGAGAGUUCCCAAGAGGGCCAUCUGGCCUUUAUCUGCCUCUUGCCCCCUCCCUACCCAUCAGGCCUUAGGCACAUGCUCUGCUGAGCCAGGUGUGAGGCUGGGGUCUGGAGCCUGGCCCUGCCUCCCUGGUGCCUGCUGGAGACCCAGGAGUGUCCUGAGCCACAGCUGCUGCUCCCAGGCUGCAGCAAAGCCUCGCUGUGGCUGCUGCUGUCAGGCCUGGGCUUGCUUGGCUGCACCAGAGAGGAAAACGCCCCCGCCUUGUACAGUGGGUGCAGCCUGUCCUGGGAUCUUCUGAAAGUCAAGUCCAACUGAGCAAGGGUGAGUGGGGACCUUGGCACUUGUCUGUUUAUUUUGGAUCCUUUUAGUUGUUGUUACAGAAAUCAACACUCCCAAAGUAGAACAUUUAGAAAAUAUGGGUAAGAUGGAAACCAUCCCUGAUCCUGUCUCCCAGAAGGAAGUGUGUCUUACUUUUCCUUCCAGUCUUUUUAUAUGUGUGUCCACAUGUGUGUGCACGUGCUCCUUAUCCAAAUGGGACCCUAGGAUAAAUUCUGCUUUGGAAAUCCGUUUCUUCUUCAUCUCACACUGUAGGCUGAGCAUGUUUCUCUGUCAAAAACCAUUUUUCUUUGCCAAUAUGCUUGCCGCCCAUCUGUUUUCAGCAAGUCCUCUUUCCUUUUUCCUUUUCUGUCUCUCUCUCUCUUUUUUUUUUGGUUUUAGGGCAGCACCUGUGGCAUAUGGAAGUUCCCAGGCAAGGAGUUGAAUCGGAGCUACUACAGCUGCUAGCCUACACCACAAAGCCAGAUCCUUAACCCACUGAGUGAGGCCAGGGAUCGAACCCAUGUCCUCAUGAAUACUAGUCAGGUUCAUUACCACUGAGCCACAUCGGGAACUCUAGCAAGCCCUCUUUCAAAGGCGUGUGGCCCUUGGAUUGGGGUCGCAGGUCCCAACUGGAUCCUGGGAUCCGGUCCUUUUUAGUUAAGAAUGCCAGGGCAAGCUCUGUGGUUCUGAGUAAUGGAAAAGCCUCAGGCUGGCUGCUUGCAGCUUGCGUUCCUGCCCCAGCUCAGCCCUGACUCAUGGGGCCCUCUUCAACUCGUCACUUCACACCUCUGGGCCUCAGUUUCUUUGCCUGUAAAACGGGAUGGUCGGAUUAAUGGCUUUGCUAGCUCCAGUGUUCCAUGACUAAGCACUUGUAGACUCACGGGAUUCCAGAAGCCUCGGGGAGCAAUGGCUGCUGGAGGCAAGUUGCUUCUUCCCAGAGCCAGUGUCUGGGUCUAGGCUAGCUGAGUGGGGGUCUCUGGAAGUUUUGAGACCCUCUCUGGCGUAGCCUGUGCCAUGGUUCCCAGGGAUUCCCAGGGCUGCAUUCUCCGCAGCUUCUCACUCCCCACCCAUGUGCACAGGGAAGCAGGGGUUCUGCCAGCGCUGACUUCACAGCCCCGCCACUUCUUGGUCAUGGUAUUAAUAGCCGGAACCAGCAGCCAACAGCUGCUGGUUGCAUUUUGAAAUAUAUACCACGUGACUGGGGAGGAAGUACAGUCCCAGCCAGUGCUGGGGCCACACAGCAGGACCAGCAGGAUCGGGGCAGGGCCUAGGGAAGCCUCCUUGGGUGGGCAGGCCUCCUUCACCCCCUUUCUCCCCCCAACUUCCCUUCCCCCUUUGGUCCUGGAGCAGCAGCUGGCUUUUGUGGAUUGGGUUUGCAGAGAGCCUGCUGUGAAACUUGGAGGCCAAGGCAUCUGCUGUGUGGAGGCUUCAAAGGAAGCAGGAACAUUUUAAAACACAAGCAGAAGAAUCCUUCUCUGGAGGCAUGGACGGUUUGCCCUCCAUAGUCUCUUGUAGAAAUAACAACAGCAAUCACGGCAACAUCCCUACUGUAAAAUGAGUGUUUGCUCUGCACUAGGCAGUGAGCCAAGUGUUUCACUCGCUUCCUCUUACGAUGGGGAGUCCUCAUUAGACCGCUCCCUAAAGUGAGCUGCUGCUGUUAUUACCCCAUUUUAUGGGUGAGGACACUGAAGCUCAAAGUUAAGCAGUUUGGCCAAGGUUCCCCAGCAAAAGGAUCGGACCCAGCACUGAGUCCUAAAGUACCUAAAAUACUUUAAGCUCAUCCUCUUAAGCUCCCCGCCCUUCCUCCUGCUUGAAUUUCACACCUCCCUUUGGUCACUGUGGUUUCAGCCUUUUCUUUGUAUGCAGAAGUGCUCAGAGACUUCCCAAUGCUACUGGUUCUGGGCAUCUAUGUGCCAGGUCCUAUACUCACCAGGGGGUAUACCUCAGAUGUGUGAGGCUUGGUCCCCAAGCCAGAAGUUUCUUUCUUUCUUUAUUUAUUUUUGGUUUCUUCUCUUUUCUUUUUUUUUAUUACUCAAUGAAUUUAUUACAUUUGUAGUUGUACACUGAUCGUCACAAUCCAGUUUUACAGGAUUUCCAUCCCACAACCCCAGCGCAUCCCCCCACCCCCCCAAACUGUCUCCUUUGGAGACCAUAAGUUUUCCUAGAAGUUUAAGAUGUUGUUGAUGAGACAAAGGAUACAGAUCCUGUGGUCCUUGGAUACAUGUCUCUUUUGUGUGGCAUCUUGGAAAGAGUGCGUGAUUUUUCGAGCUAUGCCUACUGCAAUUUGAAUCCCAUCUCUGCCACUUACUAGUUAGAUUGCUCUGGGCAAGUCUCUUACCCUUUCUGUACGGCAGCUUCCUCAUCUUUGAAACAAGGAUAAUAUUACCCUUUUUAUAGAUUGACUCUUAAGGAUUAAAGGGAAGGUUUUUUGACUAUGUCACAUCAUCGGUGCUUAAUGAAUAUUAACUAUUGUUAUAAUGGCUGGAAGAAUAGGGUUCUGAGUCACAGCCUGGAUUUGAUCUUGACAUUAUCUACUUACCAGUUACAUGACCUUGAAUUGUUUGCUUUCACCACUAGGUUCUUCAGUUUCUUCCUCUCCUGAAUGGGGAUAAUAAUAGGCUUCUUGUAAGGAAUAAAUGAAUACAUACCUAGGUAUCAGAGCAACAAUAUCAGCUAAGUACCUUAGGAAAUAUUGACAUGUACUGACUGCUCAAUAUAUACUAAUUUUAUUAUUAAUUAUUCUUACCUUAUUACUAGCAUCAUUUUGUUAUUAUUAUCAUGGAACCUGACUGGUAUCCAUGAGGAUGCAGGUUCAAUCCCUGGUCUCACUCAGGGGGUUAAGGAUCUGGCAUUGCCGUGAGCUGUGGGGUAGGUUGCAGAUGCAGCUCAGAUAUGGCCUUGUAGGCUGGCAGCUGUAGCUCCAAUUCAACCCCUAGCCUGGGAACUUCCAUAUGCCACAGGUGCAGCCCUAAAAU